rnacentral:lncRNA from 1 species
ACAGGCCUCCUGGGCAGCACCCAGCCGCCAUCCCACCUUCAUGUCUGGAGGCUGAGGUUGGCCCUUCCCCUCCCCAGGCCCCCAUCAGGGCACCUGGGGCCUAAGGCUCACACUCACUCCACAGCUGCCUCAUGGCACCAACAGAACAAGGGGCUGGGGAAUGGGGGUGGUGGGUUAGUGGUGGAGGGAAGCAUCCCAGGCCUGGAGUCAC